rnacentral:snRNA from 1 species
UUGCCCUAUGGGGAAAUCGGAUAAAAUUGGAACGAUAUGGAGAAGAUUAGCAUGGCCCCUGUGCA